rnacentral:tRNA from 6 species
CGGGGCGUGGCGCAGUCUGGUAGCGCAUCUGCUUUGGGAGCAGAGGGUCGGAGGUUCGAAUCCUCUCGCCCCGA